UUUCCGUAGGUGAACCUGCGGAAGGAUCAUUACUGAGUGAGGGCCCCUCGGGGUCCAACCUCCCACCCGUGUUUAACGAACCUUGUUGCUUCGGCGGGCCCGCCGCACGGCCGCCGGGGGGCAUCUGCCCCCGGGCCCGCGCCCGCCGAAGCCACCUGUGAACGCUGUCUGAAGUAUGCAGUCUGAGACAAUUAUUAAAUUAAUUAAAACUUUCAACAACGGAUCUCUUGGUUCCG
rnacentral:misc_RNA from 1 species